UAUAAGAGGUCCAGCCUGCCCAGUGUCCCGAUUCAACGGCCGCGGUAUUCUAACCGUGCAAAGGUAGCGUAAUCACUUGUCCUUUAAAUAAGGACUUGUAUGAAAGGCACCACGAAGGUUAUGCUGUCUCCUUUUUCUAAUCAGUGAAACUAAUCUCCCCGUGAAGAAGCGGUGAUAAAAAUAUAAGACGAGAAGACCCUAUGGAGCUUUAAACAAUGCAGCAACUGCUACAACCCCCCCCCCCUCCCCUGGGACCACCACUCCCUCCUGACAGUUUGACAGCAAAUUUUAGGUUGGGGUGACCACGGAGUAAAACACAACCUCCAUGCUGAAAGAACCCUAUUCUUAGCUAUGAGCUUCCACUCUAAACAUCAGCAUACUGACACCUAUUGACCCA
rnacentral:rRNA from 1 species